UACAGAGGUCUCAAGCGUUGUUCGGAUUCAUUGGGCGUAAAGGGUGCGUAGGUGGCGCUGUAAGUCGGGUGUGAAAUUUCGGAGCUUAACUCCGAAACUGCAUUCGAUACUGCGGUGCUUGAGGACUGGAGAGGAGACUGGAAUUCAUGGUGUAGCAGUGAAAUGCGUAGAUAUCAGGAGGAACACCUGCGGUGUAGACGGCUUUCUGGACCAUUACUGACACUGAGACACGAAAGCGUGGGGAGCAAACAGG
rnacentral:rRNA from 1 species